UACGAAGGGAGCGAGCGUUGUUCGGAAUCACUGGGCUUAAAGCGUGCGUAGGCGGAUGUGUAAGUCAGGAGUGAAAUCCCAGGGCUUAACCCUGGAACUGCUCUUGAGACUGCAUGUCUGGAAUUCGGGAGAGGGAUGCAGAAUUCCAGGUGUAGCGGUGAAAUGCGUAGAUAUCUGGAGGAAUACCGGUGGCGAAGGCGGCAUCCUGGACCGACAUUGACGCUGAUGAGCGAAAGCCAGGGGAGCAAACGGG
rnacentral:rRNA from 1 species